rnacentral:lncRNA from 1 species
UUAAAUUUUUUAUAGGAAUUACUAGGAUUUGGUUAGGAUUUGAUUUAGGUUAUAGGAUUUGGUUUAGGGUAUAAGAUUUGGAUUAGGGUUUGAUUUAGAGUUUAGAGUUUGGUUAGGAUUUGAUUUAGGAUUUAGGAUUUGAUUAGGAUUUGAUUUAGAAUUUAGGGUUUAUAUUGGGGUUUAGUUUAAGGUUUGUUUAGGAUUUGAUUUAGGGCUUGGUUUAAGGUUUAGUUAAUAUUUUAUUUAGGAUUUGGAUUAGGAUUUGGUUAGGGUUUGAUUUAGGAUUCAGAGUUUGGUUUAAGAUUUGAUUUAGGAUUUAGGAUUUGGUUAGGAUUUGAUUUAGGAUUUAGAAUUUGGAUUAAGAUUUGGUUUAGGAUAUGAUUAAGGUUUUAAUUAGAAUUUAGAGUUUGGAUUAGAAUUAGAUUUAGGAUUUAGGAUUUGGAUUAAGAUUUGGUUAGGGUUUGAUUUAGGAUUUGUUUAGGAUUUGGUUUAGGAUUUGAUUGGGGUUUGGUUUAAGGUUUAUUUAGGAUUUGAUUUAGGAUUUAGGAUUUUAUUAGAAUUUAAGAUUCAAUUAGUUUUGGCCUAAAUUUUGAAUGAAGUUCAAUAAGAUAUUAACUAGAAUUAAAUUAAGAUUGAAUUGAGAUGUAUUUGAGUGAUAUUUGUGAUCCUUCUAAUAUUUCUUUAAGAAUUUUUUUUUUUUUUUUUGAAAUUUCUCUAAGGUUUCUUUGAAUUUGAUUAAGCU